CCCCUCACAGGGUGGCACCUGGAGAGUUUCCAGAACUUUACCAGUCUCAGCUACAGGAGGGCGAGUGAAGCAGAGGCCUACCCAUUCCAUUCCUAGCUCAGGCAGUGGUUAGCGAGUGGAAGGCCAUCUGCUACAAGG